GACGGAGGAUGCAAGCGUUAUCCGGAAUUAUUGGGCGUAAAGCGUUCGCAGGUGGCUGUUCAAGUCUGCUGUCAAAGCGCAGAGCUUAACUCUGUACAGGCGGUGGAAACUGAAGAGUUAGAGUAUGGUAGGGGUAGAGGGAAUUCCCGGUGUAGCGGUGAAAUGCGUAGAUAUCGGGAAGAACACCAGUGGCGAAAGCGCUCUACUGGGCCAUAACUGACACUCAGGGACGAAAGCUAGGGGAGCGAAUGGG
rnacentral:rRNA from 1 species